rnacentral:rRNA from 1 species
AUGGGUGGGUGCUGCUGCUGUUUCCCCUCCAAACCCCCAAGGGAGAACCCAAUGCACCCAAUCGCAGAGCCGCUCAUCAAGCGGAAGCCCAAUCACACCCCUCCCUACCAUCAAAGGCCCCCGGUGACCACCCAUGCUCACAAGGGUAUGAACGCUGUCGUGCGCCUGAAGACCGGCUUCGAGCGUUUCAGAACGAAUGUGUACAACAAGAACCCGAAGCUUUUUGAAUCACUUAGGAAGGACCAGUCCCCCAAGUACAUGGUGUUUGCAUGUGCUGACUCGCGUGUGUCUCCAACAAUAACCCUCGGACUGAAUCCAGGAGAGGCCUUCACUGUUCGAAAUAUUGCUGGAAUGGUUCCUGCCUAUCAAAAGACAAGGCACUGCAGCGUCGGGUCAGCCAUCGAGUUUGCCGUGGUUGUCCUCAAGGUUGAGUGCAUUGUUGUGAUUGGUCACAGCCGCUGUGGUGGAAUUAGGGAACUACUCUCACUGAAGGACGAAGGGCCUAACGCCUACCACUUCAUUGAGGACUGGGUGAAGAUCGGUAUGGAGGCCAAGAAGAAGGUCCAGAGAGAAAACAGGUUGUUGCCUUUUGACGACCAAUGCACCGUGCUGGAAAAGGAGGCCGUCAAAUUUUCCCUUAGAAAUUUGAAGUCGUACCCGUUCGUCAAGGACAGACUGAACAAGGGCACACUGAAUUUGAUUGGUGCCCGCUAUGACUUUGUCCACGGAAGCUUCGAAACGUGGAAUGCCUGA